UCACUGACUGUCACUCGAUUGUCUUGUCGCUUCAUCGGACGGACCGUCAUCUUAUCUUUUCAUAUAAUGUACAGCGGUACCAUCCCAUCAUAGGUCGUGCAGUAAUUAAUACUAUGGUGCUUGAAGCAAUUUUUUAUAUUGAUUGCAGAAGAUCAGCUAGCGGGUUAAUAGUGAGCAUGCAUACUAGAGUCAUCCACAUGUCAGCCAUCCAUUGAUCCGAUUUAUCAUCACGCAGAUUCAGCUUACCCAAUGAGAUCUGAGUAGUGGUGCAUCGAAUGGGCACCG
rnacentral:lncRNA from 1 species